UCACUCUGCGAUUGUACUCCCUUUUAUUCUCACUGAACAUCCGAGCUGCUUCCGAGUUUGCAGGUGAGUUGGGGUUUGGAUCACACAGCAAUGACUGCAAAUAAUAAGAGUGUCAGUCAUUCGCAAACAAGAAACCCAUAGUUUUCUUUUCUUAUAAAAGUACAAAAAAAGCCAUAGUUUUAUUCAAGCCUUCAAAUUCCUCUGCAUGUACAUGUCCCCAGUAGGAUAUGUAAACAGCUCAGCUUAACUCUCUUGACUCGCUUUACGGAUAAUCCAUGGCCACUAUCAUCCUGUCUCCUUCGCAUUUAACCAGUAAGGAACAGUCCAAAUUAAUCAACAAAUUCCAAGUAGGAACUAGGAUCUUUAUGGGCAAAUGUAGGUCUAGCAACAGCACCAUUUUCUUGCUACAGUACAGCAGAGUUAAACAUGCUUAAAACUAAGGAGCUGAAAGCCUUAAGUCAUGCUCAUCACUUAAGGUAAUCCAGCAAAGCAGGAGGAUAGUAUGUCUAGUGUCUUACCAUGUAAUAACAAUUUCUACUUCUGCUUGGGAAUCUAUGUCUUGAAUUGUAUACAUUAAGACAUAAGUCUAAUACCCGUUUUACUCGGCCAAGUUCAACUUCAAACUAGUCAACAUCCUAAUCUACACAGAUCAAUCAUCUCAUUAUUGGAUGUACUCGUAAUAAAACAAUGUAUAUUCAAGCACCGACAAUCUACACAAUUCUAUGUUUUUUCUCUUCUUUUUUGGGUGGAUGGUGGGUGGUGCGAGGGAAUCUUGUUACAAGCACCAGAAGUUAGGGGAUUGAGUAAACAUCUUCAUGCAGAAUAUAACUUGAAGUCUUGAACCUGAUCAUAACUUGCACGACAUUUAUUUACGAUCAUAGUAGUGAUUGACACAGAUACGAGCAUAAUCUUGAGUUAAGGUUAACCAAACAUACCGUUUCUCUCCAUGAUCCAGCAGCUGUAGCAAUCGACAAGUAAGCCGGAACUUGCACGACUGCUAACUACCACUCUCACUCGGUACUGGGAGAAUUAACACAGUUGAGUUGUCACACCCCCUUAACUACAUAUUAAAGGAAGCAAAAUACACCUACGGUUCUUCUUACAAUAGCUAAGGAAGGGAAGUUGGUCUCUGUUUAUAGAGAAGCUUCAAGCCAAUAAUUAAUUGGGUCCCCCACCACAAUUCAAUUAGAUGAUUAGGCUUUAUAUGUAUGUUUUAUUUACGACUUGGGUCAUGCCACUAAACUUUUCCAUGUAGCGGUUGGUGUUCCUCUUCAAAAUCUCAGUUGGUUUUAAAUGUCUAUUACUAAUCACUAAGUUUAAAAGUUAAGAGAAAUCAGCAAACUCUCAUACUCCAUGGAGCACUUCUGACCUUCCAUCUUUUCAUGCCACUUGUCAACUCAGUAGAGAGACUGGUACACUCCAGUGUAGUCAAUGAAACAACCCACUCAUUCUAUCUCCGCAAUGCCAAUUAUCAAUACAUGGAGAGUCCACACUCCAAAUUGAUAACACAUGGAGGGGGGAAGUACUUGACCAUGAGAUAAUAUUUUAUCUGAUUGAGUCUUUGGACCAUGACAACCUUAAUAGACAAUCUAGAAAUAGAAACCAUGCUCUAGGUAAAAAUGCUUGAGAAACAACAGUCUUCUCAUAGAUUCCCAGACUAAAGCAUUCUUUUAGCAUCACUCGAUGUGAUUCCUUAACAAUUGCUUCAUCAUCAUAAAGAUACAGAAAUGCGCAAUACGAAAUGCAAAUGUAACUACGUAGCUUAAAACUAAAACAGCAGGAAGACAAGAUGUCACAAGGAUGAUAUCUCCAACUUUAUAGAAUGAGGAACAAGAAACUACUACUUUGCAACACAUAUUUUCAUUUAAUGAUGCUUUCAAUCAUUAGAUUUAACAGUAAAAGUCAGGAUUAAGACAUGGAUAACUGAAAGAAUGUGACGUUAAAAAAUCAAUUACAGCUCUAUACCUGAAUGGAUGUAAGUAUAGCAGCAACAUCAUAAAUUGGACUCCAUUGAUUCUGAAGAAUAUCCAAACAUAUACUUCCAUCCGCAUAAACUGGAAAAAACAAAAGGAAAAUUUCAGACUUAAAAUUGACUGUUCCUAUCCACCGACUUAACAAAUAAAAAUCAAAUCUUGAACUCCAACUUACUAUUAGGAUGAAACAUUCGAGAAACAAACCGCACGGUGGGUGGCUUAUUGGGGUAAUCCUCAGAGAAUUGAAGAGUCAACUUGAACGUACCUGAUGUUCUCAAAUAGUAUAGUUACAACCAAACUAGUUAAUUCAUACCAAAACUAAUGCAAUUUGAAAAAAGAAAUCAUAUUAUGUCAAAAGAAAAGGAUGGCAAAGGUAACCAAAGCCACAUGAAGCACUUGCUAACACCAACAACCUUAACUUUGGGCAGAGAGUACUGCACUGACAAGAGAUGACAAUACAAAAGUGACAUGGAAAAGCCAUGACUGGAAAUGCUUGGACUGGGAGAUCAAAGAAAGGAUUCAGGCAUUUCCAAAACUAGAAUAUGCAUCACCUCUUUGGGAUGAUUCAUAACAUUCAUCACUACUUUUUCGUUAGGCAGGAAUGUCCAGGGAGGGGACGAGGGGUGAGACUCUCCAAAAUGAUUAUUCAGAAUUUCAAAUCACAGAAAAGAGAGACUGAGAUGAUUAAAACAGAAGUGAAUUGUACAGACAACAACGCAUAAACAGUGGAUGUGCACCAACUACAAUGCUUUAAGCCAACAUUCUUCUGCCACACUGCACUAACGACCAAAUGCAAGGAUAACUCACCACCAUCCCAAGGAGUGUCAUCAGGACUGCAGGUUACACCAAAACGAAGAGAAACGAGAAAGUAGAUUAUUCAAACCAUACGAAAACAGCUUCCCCAAAAAGACAUAAAACACAUAUUUGGCGUAUUUUAAUUACACAACUCACCCAAAUAUCACGGCAUUCCAAAGCAUAAUGUUGUUGUCUUGAGGUGCACCACUAAUACCAGCAGGAGGGUCCUGCUGCAACCUCUUGAAAUCCCUCAUCAACCUCUUUCUAGCUGGAGUCGACAUUGUAACCACC
rnacentral:lncRNA from 1 species